GGGGAAUAUUGGACAAUGGGCGCAAGCCUGAUCCAGCAACGCCGCGUGGAGGAUGAAGGCCUUCGGGUUGUAAACUCCUGUUAGGGGGAACGAAGGGUCGCGGGUUAACAGCCGGUGACCUUGACGGUACCUCCAGAGGAAGCCCCGGCUAACUCUGUGCCAGCAGCCGCGGUAAUACAGAGGGGGCGAGCGUUAUUCGGAAUUAUUGGGCGUAAAGGGCGCGUAGGCGGCUUGGCAAGUCAAAGGUGAAAUCCCUCGGCUCAACCGAGGAACUGCCUUUGAAACUGCCGGGCUCGAGGCCGGGAGAGGGUAGUGGAAUUCCCAGUGUAGCGGUGAAAUGCGUAGAUAUUGGGAGGAACACCGGUGGCGAAGGCGGCUACCUGGACCGGUUCUGACGCUGAGGCGCGAAAGCGUGGGGAGCAAAC
rnacentral:rRNA from 1 species